CCAGGUUUACCAGGGUUACCAUGGUUACGUGUCUCCAACCGGCAAUGAGGCUUUCAGGACGUGACGUUGAAGA